ensembl:lncRNA CCDC54-AS1 CCDC54 antisense RNA 1
UGAGGAUGAGGAACAUGGUGUUGCAGUUCAAACCAGUUCCAGCCAAAAUGGACUCUAGUCACAAACAAAUAGUAAUAACAAUCCAAACUUGUGGCUGAAUAGAGUUCUGAAGUUUUGAGAAAGAGAAAUUUUAGAGACACAGACAAAGGGAAAUAAGGCCAUGUGGUGGAGGCAGAGAUUGGAGUUAUGCAGCCACAAGCCAAAGAAGGCCAAGAAUUGCCAACAACUACCGGAAGCUAGAAGUGACAAGGAAGCAUUCUUCCCUAGAGCCCUUGGAGAGAUCGUGGCCCUGCAACAUCUUAAAGUUAGGACUUCCAGCUUCCAGAAAUGUGAGAGAAUAAAUUU